rnacentral:lncRNA from 1 species
UCGGCCAUGAUCGAUUUCAUGGUCUAAGGCCAUUUUGGGCCAUGGUGGGUUGAAAUGGGCUGUGUGGGCCCCACACGGGUAAACCACACGGAUGGAUGGAGAAUAUUGGGCCAGGUGGUGUAAUCCACACGGCCAAGGCCAUUUCUGGGCUAUGUGGGCCACACGGGCAUGUGGGCCUACAUAGGCCCGUAUUAUGGGCCUUGGGCCUAUUUGUACUGUUUGACUGUUAAGGUUGCACGGAUCGCCCAAGACGACUGUGGGCC